CCUACGGGAGGCAGCAGUGGGGAAUAUUGCACAAUGGGGGAAACCCUGAUGCAGCGACGCCGCGUGAGUGAAGAAGUACUUCGGUAUGUAAAGCUCUAUCAGCAGGGAAGAAAAUGACGGUACCUGACUAAGACGCCCCGGCUAACUCCGUGCCAGCAGCCGCGGUAAUACGUAGGGGGCAAGCGUUAUCCGGAUUUACUGGGUGUAAAGGGAGCAUAGACGGCAGGGCAGGUCGGGGGUGAAGCCCGGGGCUUAACCCCGGAACUGCUUUGGAAACUGUGAGGCUGGAGUGCAGGAGGGGUAAGCGGAAUUCCUAGUGUAGCGGUGAAAUGCGUAGAGAUUAGGAGGAACACCGGUGGCGAAGGCGGCUUACUGGACUGUAACUGACGUUGAGGCUCGAAAGCGUGGGGAGCAAACAGGAUUAGAUACCCGUGUAGUC
rnacentral:rRNA from 1 species